rnacentral:rRNA from 2 species
CGGAGGAAAAGAAACCAACAGGGAUUGCCCUAGUAACGGCGAGUGAAGCGGCAACAGCUCAAAUUUGAAAUCUGGCGUCUUUGGCGUCCGAGUUGUAAUUUGCAGAGGGCGCUUUGGCAUUGGCAGCGGUCCAAGUUCCUUGGAACAGGACGUCACAGAGGGUGAGAAUCCCGUACGUGGUCGCUAGCCUUUACCGUGUAAAGCCCCUUCGACGAGUCGAGUUGUUUGGGAAUGCAGCUCUAAAUGGGAGGUAAAUUUCUUCUAAAGCUAAAUACUGGCCAGAGACCGAUAGCGCACAAGUAGAGUGAUCGAAAGAUGAAAAGCACUUUGGAAAGAGAGUUAAAAAGCACGUGAAAUUGUUGAAAGGGAAGCGCUUGCAGCCAGACUUGCCUGUAGUUGCUCAUCCGGGUUUCUACCCGGUGCACUCUUCUACAGGCAGGCCAGCAUCAGUUUGGGCGGUUGGAUAAAGGUCUCUGUCAUGUACCUCCCUUCGGGGAGAACUUAUAGGGGAGACGACAUGCAGCCAGCCUGGACUGAGGUCCGCGCAUCUGCUAGGAUGCUGGCGUAAUGGCUGUAAGCGGCCCGUCUUGAAACACGGACCAAGGAGUCUAACAUCUAUGCGAGUGUUUGGGUGUCAAGCCCGAGCGCGUAAUGAAAGUGAACGGAGGUGGGAACCUUUCGGGGUGCACCAUCGACCGAUCCUGAUGUCUUCGGAUGGAUUUGAGUAAGAGCAUAGCUGUUGGGACCCGAAAGAUGGUGAACUAUGCUUGAAUAGGGUGAAGCCAGAGGAAACUCUGGUGGAGGCUCGCAGCGGUUCUGACGUGCAAAUCGAUCGUCAAAUUUGGGGCAUAGGGGCGAAAGACUAAUCGAACUAUCUAGUAGCUGGUUCCUGCCGAGUU